rnacentral:rRNA from 1 species
UAUUAAAGUUGUUGCGGUUAAAAAGCUCGUAGUUGAAUCUGUGUCUCGCGCUGUCGGUUCACCGCCCGCGGUGUUAAACUGGCACGCCCGCGAGACGUCCUGCCGGUGGGGCCGCGGGCCUUUCGCUUCGGCGAUCGAUGCUCGCGCGCCCCGACUUGAAAUCCUGCCGCGGUGCUCUUCGCUGAGUGUCGAGGCGGGCCGGCACGUUUACUUUGAACAAAUUAGAGUGCUCAAAGCAGGCUAAAACUUCGCCUGAAUACUGUGUGCAUGGAAUAAUGGAACAGGACCUCGGUUCUAUUUUGUUGGUUUUCGGAACCCCGAGGUAAUGAUUAAUAGGGACAGAUGGGGGCAUUCGUAUUGCGACGUUAGAGGUGAAAUUCUUGGACGUCGCAAGACGGACAGAAGCGAAAGCAUUUGCCAAAAAUGUUUUCAUUAAUCAAGAACGAAAGUCAGAGGUUCGAAGGCGAUCAGAUACCGCCCUAGUUCUGACCAUAAACGAUGCCAGCUAGCGAUCCGCCGACGUUCCUCCGAUGACUCGGCGGGCAGCUUCCGGGAAACCAAAGCUUUUGGGUUCCGGGGGAAGUAUGGUUGCAAAGCUGAAACUUAAAGGAAUUGACGGAAGGGCACCACCAGGAGUGGAGCCUGCGGCUUAAUUUGACUCAACACGGGAAACCUCACCAGGCCCGGACACCGGAAGGAUUGACAGAUUGAGAGCUCUUUCUUGAUUCGGUGGGUGGUGGUGCAUGGCCGUUCUUAGUUGGUGGAGCGAUCUGUCUGGUUAAUUCCGAUAACGAGCGAGACUCUAGCCUGCUAACUAGGCGUUACCUUCCGGCAUCCCGAAGGCUCGCGUCUCCCGUCGCCGGCGCGGUCGGGUGUCGCGUUGCGGCGCUUCGGCGCUAGCGCGCGCCCCGUCCGUCCGGUCGGGUGCUCGCGGCUUUUACUGCCGGCGUACACAUGAAUCUUCUUAGAGGGACAGGCGGCUCCUAGCCGCACGAGAUUGAGCAAUAACAGGUCUGUGAUGCCCUUAGAUGUUCUGGGCCGCACGCGCGCUACACUGAAGGAAUCAGCGUGUCCUCCCUGGCCGAGCGGUCCGGGUAACCCGCUGAACCUCCUUCGUGCUAGGGAUUGGGGCUUGCAAUUGUUCCCCAUGAACGAGGAAUUCCCAGUAAGCGCGAGUCAUAAGCUCGCGCUGAUUACGUCCCUGCCCUUUGUACACACCGCCCGUCGCUACUACCGAUUGAAUGAUUUAGUGAGGUCUUCGGACCGGUACGCGGCGAGGUUCCGACCCCGCCGAUGUCGCUGGGAAGAUGACCAAACUUGAUCAUUU